GGAGCCAUAGGAAGGACUCAGGGGGAUGCAGGAGACCUAGAAAUGGACUCAGUGGCCAUUGAGGAUGUGGCUGUGAACUUCACCCCAGAGGAGUGGGCUUUACUGGAUCCUUCACAGAAGAAACUCUACAGAGAUGUGAUGUGGGAAACCUUCACGAACCUGGCCUCAAUAGG